UUAAGCGACUAAGCGUACACGGUGGAUGCCCUGGCAGUCAGAGGCGAUGAAGGACGUGCUAAUCUGCGAUAAGCGUCGGUAAGGUGAUAUGAACCGUUAUAACCGGCGAUUUCCGAAUGGGGAAACCCAGUGUGAUUCGUCACACUAUCAUUAACUGAAUCCAUAGGUUAAUGAGGCGAACCGGGGGAACUGAAACAUCUAAGUACCCCGAGGAAAAGAAAUCAACCGAGAUUCCCCCAGUAGCGGCGAGCGAACGGGGAGCAGCCCAGAGUCUGAAUCAGUGUGUGUGUUAGUGGAAGCGUCUGGAAAGGCGCACGAUACAGGGUGACAGCCCCGUACACAAAAAUGCACAUGCUGUGAGCUCGAUGAGUAGGGCGGGACACGUGGUAUCCUGUCUGAAUAUGGGGGGACCAUCCUCCAAGGCUAGAUACUCCUGACUGACCGAUAGUGAACCAGUACCGUGAGGGAAAGGCGAAAAGAACCCCGGCGAGGGGAGUGAAAAAGAACCUGAAACCGUGUACGUACAAGCAGUGGGAGCCUCUUUUAUGGGGUGACUGCGUACCUUUUGUAUAAUGGGUCAGCGACUUAUAUUCUGUAGCAAGGUUAACCGAAUAGGGGAGCCGAAGGGAAACCGAGUCUUAACUGGGCGUUAAGUUGCAGGGUAUAGACCCGAAACCCGGUGAUCUAGCCAUGGGCAGGUUGAAGGUUGGGUAACACUAACUGGAGGACCGAACCGACUAAUGUUGAAAAAUUAGCGGAUGACUUGUGGCUGGGGGUGAAAGGCCAAUCAAACCGGGAGAUAGCUGGUUCUCCCCGAAAGCUAUUUAGGUAGCGCCUCGUGAAUUCAUCUCCGGGGGUAGAGCACUGUUUCGGCAAGGGGGUCAUCCCGACUUACCAACCCGAUGCAAACUGCGAAUACCGGAGAAUGUUAUCACGGGAGACACACGGCGGGUGCUAACGUCCGUCGUGAAGAGGGAAACAACCCAGACCGCCAGCUAAGGUCCCAAAGUCAUGGUUAAGUGGGAAACGAUGUGGGAAGGCCCAGACAGCCAGGAUGUUGGCUUAGAAGCAGCCAUCAUUUAAAGAAAGCGUAAUAGCUCACUGGUCGAGUCGGCCUGCGCGGAAGAUGUAACGGGGCUAAACCAUGCACCGAAGCUGCGGCAGCGACGCUUAUGCGUUGUUGGGUAGGGGAGCGUUCUGUAAGCCUGUGAAGGUGUGCUGUGAGGCAUGCUGGAGGUAUCAGAAGUGCGAAUGCUGACAUAAGUAACGAUAAAGCGGGUGAAAAGCCCGCUCGCCGGAAGACCAAGGGUUCCUGUCCAACGUUAAUCGGGGCAGGGUGAGUCGACCCCUAAGGCGAGGCCGAAAGGCGUAGUCGAUGGGAAACAGGUUAAUAUUCCUGUACUUGGUGUUACUGCGAAGGGGGGACGGAGAAGGCUAUGUUGGCCGGGCGACGGUUGUCCCGGUUUAAGCGUGUAGGCUGGUUUUCCAGGCAAAUCCGGAAAAUCAAGGCUGAGGCGUGAUGACGAGGCACUACGGUGCUGAAGCAACAAAUGCCCUGCUUCCAGGAAAAGCCUCUAAGCAUCAGGUAACAUCAAAUCGUACCCCAAACCGACACAGGUGGUCAGGUAGAGAAUACCAAGGCGCUUGAGAGAACUCGGGUGAAGGAACUAGGCAAAAUGGUGCCGUAACUUCGGGAGAAGGCACGCUGAUAUGUAGGUGAAGCGACUUGCUCGUGGAGCUGAAAUCAGUCGAAGAUACCAGCUGGCUGCAACUGUUUAUUAAAAACACAGCACUGUGCAAACACGAAAGUGGACGUAUACGGUGUGACGCCUGCCCGGUGCCGGAAGGUUAAUUGAUGGGGUCAGCGCAAGCGAAGCUCUUGAUCGAAGCCCCGGUAAACGGCGGCCGUAACUAUAACGGUCCUAAGGUAGCGAAAUUCCUUGUCGGGUAAGUUCCGACCUGCACGAAUGGCGUAAUGAUGGCCAGGCUGUCUCCACCCGAGACUCAGUGAAAUUGAACUCGCUGUGAAGAUGCAGUGUACCCGCGGCAAGACGGAAAGACCCCGUGAACCUUUACUAUAGCUUGACACUGAACAUUGAGCCUUGAUGUGUAGGAUAGGUGGGAGGCUUUGAAGUGUGGACGCCAGUCUGCAUGGAGCCGACCUUGAAAUACCACCCUUUAAUGUUUGAUGUUCUAACGUUGGCCCCUAAUCGGGGUUGCGGACAGUGUCUGGUGGGUAGUUUGACUGGGGCGGUCUCCUCCUAAAGAGUAACGGAGGAGCACGAAGGUUGGCUAAUCCUGGUCGGACAUCAGGAGGUUAGUGCAAUGGCAUAAGCCAGCUUGACUGCGAGCGUGACGGCGCGAGCAGGUGCGAAAGCAGGUCAUAGUGAUCCGGUGGUUCUGAAUGGAAGGGCCAUCGCUCAACGGAUAAAAGGUACUCCGGGGAUAACAGGCUGAUACCGCCCAAGAGUUCAUAUCGACGGCGGUGUUUGGCACCUCGAUGUCGGCUCAUCACAUCCUGGGGCUGAAGUAGGUCCCAAGGGUAUGGCUGUUCGCCAUUUAAAGUGGUACGCGAGCUGGGUUUAGAACGUCGUGAGACAGUUCGGUCCCUAUCUGCCGUGGGCGCUGGAGAACUGAGGGGGGCUGCUCCUAGUACGAGAGGACCGGAGUGGACGCAUCACUGGUGUUCGGGUUGUCAUGCCAAUGGCACUGCCCGGUAGCUAAAUGCGGAAGAGAUAAGUGCUGAAAGCAUCUAAGCACGAAACUUGCCCCGAGAUGAGUUCUCCCUGACCCUUUAAGGGUCCUGAAGGAACGUUGAAGACGACGACGUUGAUAGGCCGGGUGUGUAAGCGCAGCGAUGCGUUGAGCUAACCGGUACUAAUGAACCGUGAGGCUUAACCUU
rnacentral:rRNA from 1 species